rnacentral:lncRNA from 1 species
CUGUGCCUUAGGUGCUGUUCUCCAACGCGGCACAUUGCAAGGAGCAGGUGACAGCAGGAGGGGAGCAGUGAGGGCCCCAGCAGCGAGAGGUUUAGGGUGUAGUAGGCAGGUCUGCAUUCCGGGCCACGCAAGCUCGGGCCGCACAGCCCCACGGUCUGGCAGGAUCACUCAGCGCGGCGGAUCGGAGGUGACUGCGGGAGGGGGAGCACCCUGCGUGGGGACUGAGACGCGGAACAGGCUAGGAACCGACACCAUGGCUGUAGGCAACAUCAACGAGCUGCCGGAGAACAUUCUGCUGGAACUGUUCACCCACAUCCCGGCUCGCCAGCUACUGCUGCGCUGCCGACCAGUCUGCAGCCUCUGGAGAGACCUCAUUGACCUGGUCACACUCUGGAAGCGCAAGUGCCUUCAGGAGGGCUUCAUC